rnacentral:rRNA from 1 species
CAGCAGCCGCGGUAAUACGUAGGUGGCAAGCGUUGUCCGGAAUUAUUGGGCGUAAAGGGCUCGCAGGCGGUUUCUUAAGUCUGAUGUGAAAGCCCCCGGCUCAACCGGGGAGGGUCAUUGGAAACUGGGAAACUUGAGUGCAGAAGAGGAGAGUGGAAUUCCACGUGUAGCGGUGAAAUGCGUAGAGAUGUGGAGGAACACCAGUGGCGAAGGCGACUCUCUGGUCUGUAACUGACGCUGAGGAGCGAAAGCGUGGGGAGCGAACAGGUUUAGAUACCCGUGUAGUCCCUGUCUCUUAUCC